AGUGAAUGCUGGCGGCGUGCCUAAUACAUGCAAGUCGAACGGAGUGGCGCACGGGUGAGUAAUAUAUAGCUAAUCUGCCCCUUGCUGGAGGACAACAGUUAGAAAUGACUGCUAACACUCCAUAGCAAGGGAUGAGACUAUAUCGUAUCAGCUAGUCGGUGGGGUAACGGCCUACCGAGGCUAUGACGCGUAACUGGUCUGAGGGGAUGAUCAGUCACAUUGGAACUGAGGCACCGUCCGAACUCCUACGGGAGGGAGCAGUAGGGAAUAUUGCGCAAUGGGGGAAACCCUGACGGAGCAACGCGGCGUGGAGGAUGGCACGUUGCGAGGCGUAAACUCCUUUUGUUAGGGAAGCGGUACCUAACGAAUAAGCACCGGCUAACUCCGUGCCAGCAGCCGCGGUAAUAC
rnacentral:rRNA from 1 species